GGGAAGUGAUACGUGUUUGUUGGUGGAAAAUGGGAAAGAAAAAUAAAGUUAAGAAUUAGAAAAUAGAAUUGUUAUCUUUUCCUCACCUUCUCUCCCUCUUUACGUUACUCCCUCCUUCACUGUAAGAAUUGCACAGCUCUCAUACUCCCUCCGUUCAGCCACCAUGCCUCCACCGUGACAAUUCCGGCCACUCCACCAUGGAACAUGUAGCACACACCACUAACCCCAAGUCCUAAUUUUGAUUAGCUCUUCUCAAUUUCAGAAAUUGAGUUGUCAAAUCCACUUCCAAAAUAGUUGGUUAGACUCCUCCAUGACCUCCUUAAGCAUGCUUCUAAGCAUAGUAGUGAUGUUAAUUUGAGAGUUUAGAAGCGAGUGAUCUCGCUCGUGGGCAGCUGCACGUAUCAAGUCACUACCCUCCUUUUUGCUGGUACAGUUGGAGUUCUCACGUGGCAUGCUUAGGCUAACUUUUGAUUGUAUAUAGUUGGUUUGGAGAUGUAAGGUUAUGUAACCUUCUUUUGCUAAUGGGAUUGUAAAUAAUUGUCGAAGCAUGUUUUCGUUAUUUUGUUAUGCAUAGUAGUAAAUGGUUGUGCUAA